rnacentral:rRNA from 1 species
GAUGAACGCUAGCGAUAGGCUUAACACAUGCAAGUCGAGGGGCAGCAUGGUCUUAGCUUGCUAAGACUGAUUGCGACCGGCGCACGGGUGCGUAACGCGUAUGCAACUUGCCUCACAGAGGGGGAUAACCCGUCGAAAGACGGACUAAUACCGCGUACACUCCAUCUUGGGCAUCCAAGGUAGAGUAAGUGAAAUUCGCUGUGAUAUGGGCAUGCGUCCCAGUAGCUAGUUGGUUGGGUAACGACUCAUCAAGGCGACGAUGGGUAGGGGUACUGAGAGGUGGAAGCCCGACACUGGUACUGACACACGGAGCAGACUCCUACGGGAGGCACCAGUGAGGAAUAGUGAUCAAUGGGAUAUAGCCUGAACCGGCCAAGUCGCGUGAAGGAUGACCGUCUUAGGGAUUGUAAACUUCUUUUAUACGGGAUCAACAUGAUGGAAGGGAGCCUCCGUGAAGGUAACGUAUGAAUAAGCAGCGGCUAACUACGUG